rnacentral:ncRNA from 1 species
GUAAAGCAACUAUAGAUGGAUUUUUAAGUCCGCCAUCAAAUCUCAGGUCUCAACUUUGGACUUGCGGUGGAAACUACCAAGCUGGAGUAUGGUAGGGACAUAGGGAAUUUCCGGUCGGGUGGUGAAAUGCAUUGAGAUUGGAAAGAACACCAAUGACGAAAACACUCUGUUGGGUCAACACUGACACUGAAGGAUGAAAGCUAUGGGAGAAAAUGGGAUUGUGAUACGUCCAUUUUGCAUCAUGGUUUUAUGUUGAUAUUUAUCGCUUUAUGGGCUAUUAUCACACUUUACGGUACAUUAC